rnacentral:misc_RNA from 1 species
GGAAGGAUCAUUAACACGUAAUACUACGUCUCAACCAACUGUGCAUUUCAUGUAUCCACUCGUUUUGCUUAGGCAUAACAAGUAGAUCAUGUAUUUUUCACAUUUUUCACCCAAAUUCUUUUGUUUUGUUGUCUAUUUGAUUUCUUUAUUGAAAUCUUUUAGUAUUGAAUUAUAUCAAUAGUCAUACAACUCUUAGCAAUGGAUAUCUUGGUUCUCGCAACGAUGAAGAACGCAGCGAAAUGCGAUACGUAAUGCGAAUUGCAGAAUUCAGUGAAUCAUCAAAUUUUUGAACGCAAAUGGCGCUUUUGGGCUUGCCCUAAAAGCACGCCUCUCUCAGUAUCGGUUCCUAUUAUUCUAUAUCAUCAACCUUUGGGAAGAGAAUAUAGAGAGAAUGAGAGUUCAGAUGUUCUGAUCUCUUCAAAUCUAUCAAUCCAUAUACGAUUCAACAGUUUCAUAUAUGAACAGGUAUGUGUUGUUCCUGUUCCCUUGAUACUUUGUUUCUAUAUAUAUCACCCUGGCUAUAUCAUCUUUUUUAUAGCGAGACGUUAGCAACGAUUUUAUUAUCGAACAUACGUCAAUUGAGUUAUAAAUAAGUGCCAAUUAGAUAUACAUAGACAAAGUUGUAGUAAGGUUUUAUGUGAUUGUCGUAUAUAUUUGAUUGUCAAUGAACCCAUGUGAUAUCUCUGAUAUCCUUCUUAUUUUGAUCUGAGAUGAAGCGAGAUUACCCCCUGAAUUUAAGCAUAUUAAUAAGGGGAGGAAAAGAAACUAACAAGGAUUCCCUUAGUAACGGCGAGUGAAGCGGGAAUAGCUCAAGUUGUCAAUCCAUGUCCGUUCUAUUGUGCCAUGGAGUUGUAGAGUUGGGAGCUGUGUAUCAGCGAGUGAAUCGAAUGGAAGUCUUUUGGAACGAGGCAUCAUAGAGGGUGACAAUCCCGUAUGCCAUUCGAUUGGAGUUUACUCACCGCGUACGAUCCAGUUUUCACGAGUCGAGUUGUUUGGGAUUGCAGCUCUAAAUAGGUGGUAAGUUUCAUCGAAAGCUAAAUACUAGCGAGAGACCGAUAGCGAACAAGUACCGUGAGGGAAAGAUGAAAAGAACUUUGAAAAGAGAGUUAAAAAGUACUUGAAAUUGCUAACAGGGAAGCGCUGAAAAGUAGUAAUUCUUUGUAGGAUAUACGCUUAUGUAAUAUUAUAUCCUUGAUGAUUGAAGUUGGCAACUCUUCGUUAUUAAUGUAUAUGAUGUUACCGAGUUCUGUCCUGCGAAGAAGUUCAGAAUCCAUUGGGUGCAACUGAGAAGAAUGUAGGAAAGGUAGGAGAUAUUCGUAUCUCUGUUAUAGUCCUAUAUAUUGAAGUUGAGCUGGAUGGAGGAAGGUAGAGUGCGCUGCUUGCGGCUUGAGCUAUGGGGUGCCUGGUAGGUAGUGAGGGAUGGAUAGCAAUGCUAUACUUUUUCAUUAUUUGCUUGCUCAUUUUAUAGUUCAAUGUACUCUCACGAUUCUGAAGAAAUACUUUUCAUCGACCCGUCUUGAAACACGGACCAAGGAGUCUAACAUAUAUGCAAGUAGUUGGGUGGUAAACCCUGUUGCGAAAUGAAAGUGAAGAUAGCCUUGUGCUAUUGAGGUACGAAUCUGUGGAGUCUCUACUCCAUGGAGGCAGUAUCGACCGAUCAUCACUUGUGAGAGAUUUGAGUUCAAGCAUAUCUGUUGGGACCCGAAAGAUGGUGAUCUAUGCCUGAACAGGGUGAAGUCAGGGGAAACUCUGAUGGAGGCUCGUAGCGAUACUGACGUGCAAAUCGUUCGUCUGAUUUGGGUAUAGGGGCGAAAGACUAAUCGAACCAUCUAGUAGCUGGUUCCCUC